UACGGGGGGAGCAAGCGUUGUUCGGAUUUACUGGGCGUAAAGGGCGCGUAGGCGGUCAGCGCAAGUCAGUUGUGAAAUCUCCGGGCUUAACUCGGAAAGGUCAACUGAUACUGCUCGACUAGAGUGCGGAAGGGGCAACUGGAAUUCUUGGUGUAGCGGUGAAAUGCGUAGAUAUCAAGAGGAACACCUGCGGCGAAGGCGGGUUGCUGGGCCGACACUGACGCUGAUGCGCGAAAGCUAGGGGAGCGAACGGG
rnacentral:rRNA from 1 species